GGAAGGUCUGGAAUGGAAUGGAAUGGAAUGGAAUGGAAUGGAAUGGAAUGGAGUGGGACAAAGCAAAGUGAGAUGUGAGGAGACAGGGCAUCUCGCAGUGGGGCUGGCUAAUCUGAACCAGAGAUAGGAGAGACCCCAGAGCAAUAACUGCGUGGGGACGGCUCCGAUAACGCGGCAGCAGUGGGGCCGGAGAGUUCCCAGUGCUCCCAGAGGCCAGCGACGUUCAGGAGGGUUCCUGGAGAGGAGCACAACCUGCAGAAUGCAUGGAAGCAUCGAUACGGGAACGGCACUGCCUGAAAACACGUGCCCAGUCCUGAGCUGGAACGGAGCUCCUGGGGACCCCAUCAUGGGGACAUCAGUGGGGCAGGACGUGGGGCUCAGCCCCAUGCAGCAGUGCUCAGGGUUCUCCCCACGCGGCCCCGUGCUGCCACGCCAGCUGCGCCGGAGCGGUGGGUUCCUGUUGCCAAGAUAUGGAUUUGGUUUUAAUAACAGUUAGUGCAAACAUUGUAAAUUUACUGCUGCUAGAGAGAGUUUUUGAAAACGUCCAACUCUGGCUAUAAUUUUUCAAUCGCAGCAGCUGUUUGUGCUCUGCUCAUACCUGACACGCUGCUUUGAAAUAGCAAUCACUGUAUUUAUAAGAAGGGAAGGACUCAUAAAUAUGUCAGGAGUGGAAUAUACAACGCCAUAUUUCACCAUUUUCUAUUUUAAAAUUGUGAGUUAUGGCUACAGAAAUGUGGUCCCAUUAAAGGUGAUAUGAUGUAUUUUGUGUCUUG